rnacentral:rRNA from 1 species
CGUGUGACUGCGUACCUUUUGUAUAAUGGGUCAGCGACUUAUAUUCUGUAGCAAGGUUAACCGAAUAGGGGAGCCGAAGGGAAACCGAGUCUUAACUGGGCGUUAAGUUGCAGGGUAUAGACCCGAAACCCGGUGAUCUAGCCAUGGGCAGGUUGAAGGUUGGGUAACACUAACUGGAGGACCGAACCGACUAAUGUUGAAAAAUUAGCGGAUGACUUGUGGCUGGGGGUGAAAGGCCAAUCAAACCGGGAGAUAGCUGGUUCUCCCCGAAAGCUAUUUAGGUAGCGCCUCGUGAAUUCAUCUCCGGGGGUAGAGCACUGUUUCGGCAAGGGGGUCAUCCCGACUUACCAACCCGAUGCAAACUGCGAAUACCGGAGAAUGUUAUCACGGGAGACACACGGCGGGUGCUAACGUCCGUCGUGAAGAGGGAAACAACCCAGACCGCCAGCUAAGGUCCCAAAGUCAUGGUUAAGUGGGAAACGAUGUGGGAAGGCCCAGACAGCCAGGAUGUUGGCUUAGAAGCAGCCAUCAUUUAAAGAAAGCGUAAUAGCUCACUGGUCGAGUCGGCCUGCGCGGAAGAUGUAACGGGGCUAAACCAUGCACCGAAGCUGCGGCAGCGACGCUGAUGCGUUGUUGGGUAGGGGAGCGUUCUGUAAGCCUGCGAAGGUGUGCUGUGAGGCAUGCUGGAGGUAUCAGAAGUGCGAAUGCUGACAUAAGUAACGAUAAAGCGGGUGAAAAGCCCGCUCGCCGGAAGACCAAGGGUUCCUGUCCAACGUUAAUCGGGGCAGGGUGAGUCGACCCCUAAGGCGAGGCCGAAAGGCGUAGUCGAUGGGAAACAGGUUAAUAUUCCUGUACUUGGUGUUACUGCGAAGGGGGGACGGAGAAGGCUAUGUUGGCCGGGCGACGGUUGUCCCGGUUUAAGCGUGUAGGCUGGUUUUCCAGGCAAAUCCGGAAAAUCAAGGCUGAGGCGUGAUGACGAGGCACUACGGUGCUGAAGCAACAAAUGCCCUGCUUCCAGGAAAAGCCUCUAAGCAUCAGGUAACAUCAAAUCGUACCCCAAACCGACACAGGUGGUCAGGUAGAGAAUACCAAGGCGCUUGAGAGAACUCGGGUGAAGGAACUAGGCAAAAUGGUGCCGUAACUUCGGGAGAA